UGGAAAGUUACCGCGCCUGCAGCAGCGUUUUGAGUGUGUUGGUGUUGAGUCCCGCGUGCGCCUGUGUCUCCGGGACAGGGACUCGGUCACUUUUGUGGAAAGGCCUACGUGUGCAAGGAGCAAAUACUACAGAAAUUUCCUGGAACCUUGUGGGACAUGCCCAGGAGGGUCUAUGAGCUUCCUGCCAAUGCACCUGCAGGGCAGCUCAUCAUGAAUCAUGUACUUCCCUCGGAGUGAGUGAUCUACGAGACAGCAAGUUGGAAGCCACAACAUGCAUUUGUCAUUUCUGCAAUUUCGCAUUCCCUAUGCAUGUCACUCAAUAUUAUUCAGUUCAGGAGGAAGCUUCACAAUGACAGGUAACAAGAAGAAUUGAAAAUCACAAACAAAAUCCAAAAGUUCCAUGUUUAUAUCAAGCAAAACAUUCUACUAUUAUUCCUCUCCUCCCCAUAUGCUUGAAAUAUUUAUUGGAAAUUAAUUAAUUUGAAAGGCACAGUGACACAGAGAGACAGAGAAAUCUUCCGUCCUCUGGUUUCCUCCACAAAUGCCACAACAGCCAGCAUUGAGCCAGGCCAAAGCCAGGACCCAGGAACUCCAUCCAGGUGCUGAAACAUGAACUAGUACUCUGAUAGGGGAUG
rnacentral:lncRNA from 1 species